rnacentral:rRNA from 1 species
UACGUAGGGUGCGAGCGUUUGUCCGGAUUUAUUGGGCGUAAAGAGCUCGUAGGCGGUUUGUCGCGUCGGCCGUGAAAUCUCCACGCUUAACGUGGAGCGUGCGGUCGAUACGGGCAGACUUGAGUUCGGUAGGGGGAGACUGGAAUUCCUGGUGUAGCGGUGAAAUGCGCAGAUAUCAGGAGGAACACCGGUGGCGAAGGCGGGUCUCUGGGCCGAUACUGACGUGAGGAGCGAAAGCGUGGGGAGCGAACAGG